UACGGGGGGGGGCAAGCGUUGUUCGGAAUUACUGGGCGUAAAGGGCUCGUAGGUGGCCAACUAAGUCAGACGUGAAAUCCCCAGGCUCAACUUGGGAACUGCGUCUGAUACUGGGAUGGCUUUGAAUUCGGGAGAGGGAUGCAGAAUUCCAGGUGUAGCGGUGAAAUGCGUAGAUAUCAGGAAGAACACCAAUGGCGAAAAGCAGCUCUCUGGGGACGGUAC
rnacentral:rRNA from 1 species